UCGCGACGAUCCUGGAGAAAGCUAGUGCAAUUCGCCAGGCACUUCAGGGGAGUGAUGACGAAGAGGACUUUACCUAACAUUUCGCAUUUUAUAUCUCUUUUAAACUACACCGCAUUAUGCCUUGCUGCCUUGGUGUUUCAGUUGAGCAAGAACUGUACGAAUUUGGUAACACCAACCUCUUAAAUUAUCUGAAAUUUG